AACACAUGCAAGUCGAACGAGGUGUAGCAAUACAUCUAGUGGCGGACGGGUGAGGAAUACGUAGGAAUUUGCCUUAGAGCGGGGGAUAGCCCAGGGAAACUUGGAGUAAUACCGCAUGAUGUCGAAAGACCAAAGCAGGGGACCGCAAGGCCUUGCACUCUGAGAGAAGCCUACGUCUGAUUAGCUAGUUGGUAGGGUAAUGGCCUACCAAGGCGACGAUCAGUAACUGGUCUGAGAGGACGAUCAGUCACACCGGAACUGAGACACGGUCCGGACUCCUACGGGAGGCAGCAGUGGGGAAUAUUGGACAAUGGGCGCAAGCCUGAUCCAGCAAUGCCGCGUGUGUGAAGAAGGCCUUCGGGUUGUAAAGCACUUUAAGCAGGGAAGAAAAAACUCGGGCUAAUACUCUGAGUCUUGACGGUACCUGAAGAAUAAGCACCGGCUAACUCUGUGCCAGCAGCCGCGGUAAUACAAAGGGUGCAAGCGUUAUCGAUUUCUGGCGUAAA
rnacentral:rRNA from 1 species